ACUUAGAAAAAAAAAGGUUCACUUAUUAUCGAUUAAAACCUAAUUUCUCUCAUUUGUUUUUUAUCGUUCUUCUCCUCAUCCAUUACCUCUUCGCUAUCUUCAUCUUCAGGUUCUUCUUCCUCUUUAUAAAUUUUCCAGUUCAGAAAACCAACACCAGCGGUCCAAGAUCAUUACACGCCCUAGAUUUGAUUUAGAAUAUCGUAGCUUUUGGAUCUGAAUAAGCAAUCAGAUGAACCAGCGGCGGUGGCGGAGGAGGAGGAUUCGCCUGGAUCUGCCGCCAACGAGUCAUCAAAACCGCCGUCGGAUCGACCUUCUCUUUGCCGUCGUUAAAAGUUCAUCCUGAUAAGAACAAGGCUCAUGGCUCUUGGCUUUUUCUUUUUUAAUUUUUGGUGGAUUCAGAUUCGUGGGUCUCUUAACGUGUUGAUGUUUUUCGUUCUGGUUAAGUCUUUGUCUUAGAUUGUUGCCUUCUAGGUCGCUUUAAUGGUGUGUGAAAGGUGAAAGCUUUAAGCUUCGUUUCUAUCUCUUUGAGAACAAUAAGGAGCGGUGACGAAUUGUGACACCAAUCUCUUCGUCUCUGAUGGAUUAUAGCUCCUAGCUAGCUACUGAAUGUUACUAUGCGUUCUCACAAGCAAAGCGAGAGUUCACUUUUGGUGAUAGUUUAGAAGAGAGUAACUGAGUUAGAGGAACAAGUGGAGAGAAUUUGGAGUCAGACUCAUUAAGCUCCUAAACUUCCUUAUGUUACUCAGGAAGUGAUCUCCAACAUCCAAGCAUUGUGGGAAGAUUUUGAAGUGACUUUAAGUUUGAAAGGUUUAAUAAAGUUAGGCAGUAAACUGUUCAUGCCAAGCUUCUCGUCAAGUUUUGACUCUUUUGACUCUAACACAAUGUGUGGGAUUCUCGCUGUUCUUGGUUGCAUCGACAACACUUAAGCUAAACGUUCUCGUAUCAUUGAACUCUCUCGCGGGUUGAGGCAUAGAGGUCCUGAUUGGAGUGGACUCCAUUGUUAUGAAUAUUGUUAUCUUGCUCAUGGGCGUUUAGCCAUCAUUGACCCAACUUCUGGAGACCAACCGAUCUAUAACAAAGACAAGACCAUCGUUGUCACGUACGAAGAACAUAAAGAAUACGUCUUUUUCAUACAUUCAAAGUGAACUAGUGGCUGUUCAUUAGAUUGUUUGAAGGAAAAGUGAGCAGCUAAGAAAGGCUUGGAUGGGUUACAUGUACAUGUAAAGUUUGUCUUUGUUGUUCUUUGUAAUGUUAGCUUUAUGUACAUGUAAAGUUUGUCUCUGUUGUUCUUUGUAAUGUUAGCUUUAUUUUGUUUAAGACUUGGUGGCACUUAUGUAAGACUUAUUUUGGUUAAUGUAAUAUUAAGGUUUAUGUA